ensembl:ncRNA F11D5.10 ncRNA
CAUCUCGUCAGUAAUUCGGGUUAACAUGGCAUGACGCCCGCUCGGUGAAAAAGAUCAGGGAAGAUCGCAUUUCGGCAACCGGAAAAAGGACUAGCCGCUUGCACUGUGGACCGAUACUGCGCACACGUAUGUGU